UACGUAGGGGGCAAGCGUUGUCCGGAAUCAUUGGGCGUAAAGCGCGUGUAGGCGGCCCGGUAAGUCCGCUGUGAAAGUCGGGGGCUCAACCCUCGAAUGCCGGUGGAUACUGUCGGGCUAGAGUGCGGGAGAGGCGAGUGGAAUUCCUGGUGUAGCGGUGAAAUGCGCAGAUAUCAGGAAGAACACCAAUGGCGAAAGCAGCUCUCUGGGACGGUACUGACGCUGAGACGCGAAAGCGUGGGGAGCGAACAGG
rnacentral:rRNA from 1 species